GUGUAUACACACACACACAUAUAUAUAUACACAAAUACAUAUAUAUACACAUAUAUGUGUGUGUGUGUAUAUCUGCUAUAUACAUAUAUAUGCUAUAUAUAUAUACACACACACAUAUUAUAGCUAGGUAUGGCUUUAUGUAGUACUUUCUUAAACAUUCACCCUCAAACCUGAAGGGUUCUUUAAUGAUUGUGUUCAUUUAUUCAUUUGGGAUUAGCUAGUUUCCAAGGAUGGAUCAACCAUCCAUGCCUCCCGGUAUUCCCAGCCAUGUGUAGUCCCCUUCCACAGUGAAUCUGGCUUCAACCAACAGGGUGCAGUGGAAGUGGCCCUAUGCCAGUUCUCCACCUAAGCUAUAUGAUGUCCUAACAGCUGCCUUUUCAUGCUUUUAGAACCCUUAACCAACAUUAAGAAGUCUAGCUACACUCCUGGAGUCCAGCUAACAUGGAGAAACCAUACAGAGAGGCCACAUGGAGCGGUGGGGACAUGAGAAUGUGCAGGGAGGGAGAGGAGUCCAGCUGCCUCAUAAUCCUACCGGAGCCCAGGCAUCAGCCAUCUCUGCCAACCUGCAGCACGAGUGAGGACGCGAGUGUGCCACCUGGCAAGUGGAUCCUCUGGCCCCAGUCAAGGAGCUGCAGCUGAUGGUGCAUGGAGCAGAGAGAAACUGCCCUGCUGAGCCCUGCCAAAAUCAUAAAAUUUGUCUAUUGGCAUAUCUCAAAAAGAGCCAUUGUCCUGACGAUGCCCAUGAUCUCCCAGAAAGAUGUAAAGAGAAAUGACACUGGUAUCCAGAGUAGCCCAGAGGUAAGCAGAGCCCAGACCCCCAUAGGGCUGCCCACGUUAGCAAAUAGAAAUACAGGAAGUUAAAGUCAAAUUUCAGACCCUAGAGUGCUCAACAUUGUACUACAGACCCCAAUGCUUUACAUUUCAGAUAAGCAAUAAAUAAUUGUCUGGUAUAUGUAUGUCCCACAUAAGCCAUGGAAUAUAUUUGUACUAAAAGAACCAUUCACAUUUAACUGGGCAUCUGGUAUUUUAUCUGGCAACCCUAGCAAGAAGGCAGGGGCAGCACAGGUACAUGAAGGCCACUUUGCUCUACUGAUAGAUGAAUACAAUAUUCUUUGCAUCUGUGUUUCCCUGAUGAGUAUUAUAAACUAAUGUUUUCGUGCAACCAAGAUAGGAGUAUAUUUUAGGGAGUCUCUGCACAGCCAUGAGUGAGAAGGUAGUGUUAACAAAGAAGAAGGAAGUGUUAGUGAAAAAUUGGAGAGACUGGAACAGAAGUGCUGAUUUCAAAGCAUGCCUUGAACACUAGGCAUUUGCCAUCAGACAGGUCAGUAGACUCGUAGGGAAGGGAGAAAGGAAGGAAGACUUUUUCAAGUAGUUUAGCUUUGCCCAUAAAUUGUGAUGAUAUCUACCUACUGACGAUGGCUUUUGAGAGACUUAAAUAAUACCACCAACCACAAAAGUGCUUUAUAGAGUACAAAAUAUUACACAAAUUGUCAGGAUCACAUUUCCCAACUAUACCUGUUUUAGGAGGAAGAAAGGGAGGAAAAGGAGCAGGAACCUCUUUCUCCUCCUCUUCUGUAUCUAUCUGCUUGAUCCUGAGCUGAUGGUCUUUCAUGUAUUAAGGAAUGUCAUAUCACUAUGACCACCUCAGCUACUGCUAAUUAAUUCAACUCAAGCUACUGCUAAAUGAAUGACAGCAGAUUUCGAUAUCCUGCUAACUUGCUUUUUAGCUUAGAGCAGCCAGGCUAUUUUGCAGCCAACCAAAUACACAUCAAAGAAUGUUAAGUCUUUCUGUGCCACAGAUAUAAUACAGAUUUCUUUACAAAACAAAGAUGGAGGGUCAAUAUUCCCUGAGGCAAAAUGCUGAAAUAUAUCAAUUGCUAUCCAAUAUAAAGCACUGUUUUAACAGUGAACAUCCUUGGAGUCAGAAGACCUGGGUUUAAGGAGAAACUCUGCCAUGUAUUGUGUGUUCUGGGCUAAUCCUUUAACCUCACUGAACUGUAAUUUUGUUUUUUUUUUUUUUGAAAAAUAACCUUAUCUUUCAUAUAAGCUGUUGUGAUGAUUACAUGUGGUUUAUAUACAUAUAUAGCCCUUUGUGAAAUACAAUACACAAUAAAAUAUAACCUGUUAUUCUCA
rnacentral:lncRNA from 10 species